CAGCCCCAGGAAAAAGGAAGAGCCAGAUACAAGAUUUUUGGACUGCUAUUGAACAGCAGGAGUACAGCACAUUGCAAUCAGUACAUCCGACAUCGUCUCUGCUAUAAGGAAUUUAAAGGAAAGAGGCAUGGAAUUUCUCGUUAUUCCUGACACAUAAAAAUCUUCGUGCAUGGCUUAAGGAUAUGUACCCAUCAAGGUGGAGGAAGAACUGAAUGUGCUCCAAGAUCUGAAGAUUUUGGUCGAUUUUGAUGACAAUGGUUACCUGCUGCAGAUCUUCACAAAACCAAUGCAGGACAGACCAACACUAUUCUCAGAAGUUGUACAGAGGCACAAUCACCAGGGCUUUGGAGUUGGAACUUCAAGUCGCUUUUUGAAGGCAUUGAGCUGGAUCAAGAGCGGAGAGGGAACCUUUACUAGACUCUCUUAUCAUACCUGGCUAUUUCUUAGCUCUUAAAUCGCAUUAAUCAUACGAAACAAACCUCUGCGUAGAAGGUAGUCAAAUCACAUGAGCUGUAUUUUCCAAAAGAAACAACACCUUCAUCAUAAGAUAGCCAUCUUAGUGCGGGGAAAGGCUGGAGAUUAAACGUGUGUCGGCUAAAGGAAUAACUGAGUUUGGUUGGGUUUUGGAUGACUUGCGCACCUCUUUAGAAGGACGUGCGCACAUUUUAGAAGGAUGUGAAUAAUUAGUAGUUUGCGCUGGCAUGUUCAAAGGAUAUACAAUUCUUAAAAAAAGACGGCAUUUUGUCUACAACAAUUUUUAAUAUAAGAGAAAAGUCAAGUUUCCAGAUGGGUUUUGAACCCAUGACCCUCUGUGAUCUAGUCAGAUGCUCUAACCACUGAGCUACAGGAGACUCUUUAGUGAGCAA